rnacentral:rRNA from 1 species
GAUGAACGCUAGCGGGAGGCCUAACACAUGCAAGCCGAGCGGUAGAGUUUCUUCGGAAACUUGAGAGCGGCGCACGGGUGCGUAACACGUGUGCAACCUACCUUUAUCUGGGGGAUAGCCUUUCGAAAGGAAGAUUAAUACCCCAUAAUAUAAUGAUUGGCAUCAAUUAUUAUUGAAAACUCCGGUGGAUAGAGAUGGGCACGCGCAAGAUUAGAUAGUUGGUGAGGUAACGGCUCACCAAGUCAAUGAUCUUUAGGGGUCCUGAGAGGGAGAUCCCCCACACUGGUACUGAGACACGGACCAGACUCCUACGGGAGGCAGCAGUGAGGAAUAUUGGACAAGGGGUGAGAGCCUGAUCCAGCCAUCCCGCGUGAAGGAGGACGGUCCUAUGGAUUGUAAACUUCUUUUGUACAGGGAUAAACCUACCCUCGUGAGGGUAGCUGAAGGUACUGUACGAAUAAGCACCGGCUAACUCCGUG